AUUCACUUCCUUUUGAGUUCAUAAACAGUGAAUAAAUUCUAGAUAAUAAAGCAGCUUGUGAAACAAUGAUUUCCCAUAUCCCUGAGGGAAGAGACUGUGUAAUUCAUCUUUGCAUCUCCCAUAACAUCUAACACAAAGCACAGUACAUUGGAGGUACGCUAUACUAUUGCUUUUACCAGUGGGCCUGAGGGCCAAGGAAAAAUAUAAAUAUGUGCACAUGCACAUGCAUGCACAUGUGCAUAUACACAUAAAUAAAGUCAGUGUGAAGGUGAAAUAUAGUCUAAACAAAAUUCAGCAAAGACACCUCUGCACUACUACCGACCUCUUUAGUACGUCAGUGCUCAUGAUCGUCUUGGUUAAUGUAAUUAGAACUGGAGAAAGGGCUUGAAGAAUUCAGAGCUUCACAGUUUUGGAGACAACAUCUCAUAGACUAAAUAUGCACUUAUUGAGUGAAUACUGAGAGGAGGCGCUACAGAGAGUGCUGUCAAUCAAGGGGAAAGGAAAGUAUGUCCUGUACAAAUGGAAAUUUUCAAAUAUGAGAUAAUACCAUUUCACCUAAAUUUUAUUCAAAUUGCUAUUAUGGAGUACUUCAAGCAAUUGUUAUCCCUUGCACAAAGCUGAAGCUGUGACACGAAAGAAUAAUUUGCUCCAACAAGACGAGCAAUUGUAGAUAAGCAUUAAGGAUCAUUUGAGACACUGGCAGUUUUUCUUUUCCAGUUAAUAUUUUCCAUCACAUUCAUCUCAG
rnacentral:lncRNA from 1 species